AUGGCAGAUGCAUGAGCUAAUGGGGAUGGUGAUGCUUAUGAUCCAAUGGAAGAUCCAGAACGCAUGCCACGGAGGUCAAAUGAUCCAGGCUGGAAUUAUGGGUAUUGGUUGAAACCUGGCAACAUCAAUAAUGUUGUGUGCAAUCUUUGUGGCAAGAUAACUAAAGGAGGGAUCAAGAGACACAAAGAGCAUCUUGCUGGCACUGGUGGGGAUGCAACAGGUUGUCCAAAGGCUACCACAUAG
rnacentral:rRNA from 1 species